rnacentral:rRNA from 1 species
AAAAUAAAGAUAAAACCUAACUAGGCUGUAGAAAGCAACAGUUAAGUUUAAAAUAAACCACGAAAGUGACUUUAUUACCUCUGAUUACACGAUAGCUAAGACCCAAACUGGGAUUAGAUACCCCACUAUGCUUAGCCCUAAACUUAGGUAAUUAAAUUAACAAAAAUACUCGCCAGAGGACUACUAGCAAUAGCUUAAAACUCAAAGGACUUGGCGGUGCUUUAUAUCCAUCUAGAGGAGCCUGUUCUAUAAUCGAUACACCCCGAUAAACCUCACCAUCCCUUGCUAAUUCAGCCUAUAUACCGCCAUCUUCAGCAAACCCUUAAAAGGAGGAGUAGUAAGCUUAAGUAUUUUACAUAAAAACGUUAGGUCAAGGUGUAGCUAAUGAGAUGGGAAGAAAUGGGCUACAUUUUCUAUUACUAGAAUAUACGAAAGUUUCUAUGAAAUUAGAAACUAAAGGAGGAUUUAGUAGUAAGU